UCUGGUUUGCUGUUGAGUAUCCUACCGGGCUUUUCCCAGUAAACCUUCGGAAAUUGAGGAGUGCUAUAGUGGCCCGUAUCGCUGGCAUUAACAUUCCCGAG
rfam:Ferrimonas marina strain DSM 16917 genome assembly, contig: EK02DRAFT_scaffold00015.15